UGUCGUCCUUUAUGAAAGGGAACACGCGAGCGCGUGGCCUGCGCUCUGCGGCGGCUGCCCACAGCGCCAUCAGCCGACAGCUAAAGAAAGCACGUCCGCUUUUGGCGUCAUCUAUUGGCAAACGAAAUAACCAGUCAUGGCCGGUGGGCAAGCGCUGCUCAGAUUAUGCUCCCUCACCGCUCGCGCAACGGGCGAUGCCUGCAGCGCGUCGUCUGCUGGUAGCAAAUCGAGCGUGGUGCACGAGCACGAUCAAAACGUAGAUGCUCUGUCUCUCGCCUUACGCCUGUUGCGCUUCGCCUAAACUAGAGCUAUAUAGGUGAGGGCGAUGCACUCAGCGGAAGGUUUGGUUGUUCUUUAUCUAUAACUGAAUGAUACUCUGUAUCAUUCAGUGAUACACUAUCAUGCGAGCUCUAUGGAUUCGUCGUAAAACUCGCAUUUGCUUAAGCCACAACUGAAUACAUUUCCAAGAACACAGUAUGCAGCAUUAUAGUUCUCCAGCGAAUAAAGGUGUGAAUUUUCAUGGAAAUAUGCUUAGCUUCAGCUGUAUCGUCCCUGCGUCGGGAAUGAAAGUAAAAAUACCAGUUUAGACUCGCUCGAGGAUAAAUUUCAAACCAACCAUGCAUGGCACUAACCACCGAAUUGGAGCGUUUCCGUGCGCCGAAUCCGUGCGUGCAGUUAAAAAAGACGACGGUAGCGAUUCCCCUCGGCUAAAUGGUCACUGUGUGUGCGAUAAUCGGCAGCAGUCCUUCAAAACCCCUGCAUGAUUUUCAGCUGAGUGGCAGCGCUAUGGUCAGUUCGGUCGGUGGACCAAGUUCGAGUCUAUGACCAUUUAAGUAUGCCGCGGUAAAGAUAGCAGUGAUAAUGUACUAGUUCAUACGUGUAAAUAUGGGCUCCAAAAUACUACAAGAGGGAAAGGUAAAAUGCUGAACGCCUUGCGUACUGGCGUGAUAAAAAGUGAUAGGGGCAUGUGUAGUUUAAUUCCUUAUAUUUGUGGGCCAGGAGGCAGGUCAUUGCAUCAACUACAAGGAGGCCACUAAAAGCAGCAAACAGGAUCGUUCAGGCCUUCAAGACGGAACGCCGUGUGAAAGACGCUCAGCACAGGCGCUGACCUCGGGCAACAACUGAAUACGAAGACCGUGUGAUUGUGGCUGCAGUAGCACUGAAGCCGCAGACAACAGUCACUGAAGUACUGAAGGAACUUGGCAUUAGGGCGUGCGAGACGACUGCGACGCGCCGCCUCGACGAAGCUGGUCUCAAAAAGAGGAUUGCUUGCAGGAAUCCUCUGCUUCGAGGCACCAACAAAGCCAAACGCCUGCAGUUUGGGAAGGGCCACGCAGAUUGGAUUACCUCCGACUGGGAAUGUGUUGUAUUCACCGACGAAGGUUCAUUCACGACCCGGUGGGACCAGAGACAGAGUGUGGCGCCCAGAAAACCGCCGCUACAGACCAGAAUACCUCCAGCGAGUGGCUGCAAGUGGGCGUUCAGCAGUGUGCGUGUGGGGCCUUGUGACCAAAAAAGGGCUUGGUCCACUAGUCCGCAUAGAGGACAGAUUCACGUUUGCCGCCUACUGCUCAAUCCAGGACGACGUGAUGGUGCCUUGCUUGCUAAAUGAGCCCUUCCCGGAAGGUGAUUACAUCUUCCAGCAAGACAAGUCGCCCAUCCACACAUCCGGAAGGGUGACAAGCUUUUUCGAGGAUCGUGGAAUCGACUCUCUAAGGUGGCCGCCCCAGUCUCCAGACCUUAACAUUAUUGAGAACGUACGGGGCCUUUUGAAAACUGCGCUGGCGGCUCGGUCUGCACGGACUAUCGGCCAACGAGCUUUGGGGUGUCACAAAGGAGUGGAAGCGGCUGUGAAGCAACAGAUCACUAACGGCCGCCUUGUAUAACUCGCUACCCUGAAGAAUGGCAGCUGUCGUCGCAGCAAAUGGGGACGGCAUGAGGUACGGAGAAGUGCGUCGACACAACAUAUUUCAGAUUUUUGUUUUGUUUUGGGGCUCAAUACAAAAGAAAAAUAUACGUAUAUCUUAUAUGUCAAUAAAUGAAUUGAUAUCUGUUUUUGCA